rnacentral:rRNA from 1 species
UACAGAGGGUGCAAGCGUUAAUCGGAAUUACUGGGCGUAAAGGGUGCGUAGGUGGUUUGUUAAGUCAAGUGUGAAAUCCCUGGGCUCAACCUGGGAACUGCAUUUGAUACUGGCAGACUCGAGUCUGGUAGAGGGUAGUGGAAUUCCGCAUGUAGCGGUGAAAUGCGUAGAGAUGCGGAGGAACACCAGUGGCGAAGGCGGCUACCUGGACCAAGACUGACACUGAGGCACGAAAGCGUGGGGAUCAAAC